GCUCCCCCUGGUGCUGCUGCUGCUGCUGGCGGGGGCGCUGGCCCGGAUCCCCGGAAGCGAAGGGGGGAAGGAGACCCCCGCACCUCCGUCGCUGCCAACAGUCCUGCCGCCCAAGAUAAACAUGUUUCGGAGGACAUCGUUUGCGAAAGCAUUUUCCUCCUAGACGACGACACCGUGGUUGGGCAUUCCCUAUGAAAAGAAAAAGAGGAGACACUUUAGCCAUCUCUGCUAACUCCAUCAGCUUUUGUAACCGUUCAUCCAAGAUGGGAAUGGAAGCAUCCUUCCAGGAAUUCCAGGAUUCCUAGGACUACAGCAAGUUUUCUCUGACCACACAGAUCCAUCUCUGCUGAUCUCCUGCAGCAGCUCAAAUAAAUCAGCCAUUAACCCAGGUUUGAAGUCUGACUCAAAGAUGAAUUAGCUGACAGGAAUGCAAGGAAAAGAAAUGCGAACAGCAGAUAAAGGAUCUUCAUGCUGAGACUGGUUCUGGACAAAAUCUUACUCCUUGGACAGACUUGGCUCUCUAUUUAUGGAGUUGUAAUGAUUGCAUCAUAUCACCUCAGUGAACUGUUGCAAAAUAGUUCUUACCUAAGGCAACGGUGCAUCUUCCUUGUAUUGAAACACUCCUGUUUGUUAGCUGUUACAAAAGCCCUGAGAAGAGCAGCAGACUUAGUUGAACAUCUAACCUGCUAUGGCUAUAAAAGAUGGGAGGCUCAGGACUUGCAGUGUCUGAAUGGGUCAAAGAAAAUUCCUUACUGAAUUGCUGCCCAAACUCUACAGUCCACGAUGAUAAUGCUCGGCCAGGUUCACCAAUGGCUGGACUAUGGGAAGAGCCCUUAGAAAGUCUCAACAUCUUUUUUUACAUUGUGGUGACCAAAACUGGAGGCAGAAGUCCAAGUGUGGCCUUACCACUCCUUAUUAGGAGUCCUGUGAGACACAGAAGAUCAACUGAAAUUGAGAAGGAGAACUGGGUUCCAAAAGCUUUUAUUCUAUAAAAAGCUAGUACGCGUGAUUUGCAAUAUUGAACUGGUGAAGGAGAAUCCCCAGAACCUGCACAAUCUCACACUUGGCUACAACACCCAUGACAACUAUGAUAACACCCUCGGCACUUCAGAUGCCUUGCUGGACAUGCUCUCUACUGGAAAAGCCAAUGUUCCCAACUACAGCUGUGGAAGGGAGGAGAAGCUUUUGGCUCUUUUUGAUGGAGCUGACAGAGACAGCUCCAUCCAGAUGUCAACAUUAGCAAGCACCUACAAAGUCCCACAGGUUUGUGUUUCUCCUUCCCUUUCUGUAA